AGAGUUAUUUAUGCACAAGGUACUCUGCUGUAGAGAGGGUUGCUUACUAACACAGCCAGGGAGGACUGGGGAAGGAUUCCAGCUGCCUGAGCUAAGCCAGGAAGGGAAAAUUGGAGUUAGCAAGGCAAGGAAGGUCAUUCCAGGCAGUGGAAACAGAAUGAGCAAAGGCAAGAGAAAAGGCUAUUUGCUUUUGAGCUACUCCGGGAGAGGAGCAGAGUCGGUUUGAGUUGCAUGACUGACAUCUUCUGGCUACAGUGGAUAUUACAGAAAGACUGAAACUCCGCAAAAGUGUGUUUGAAAAAAAGAAAAGCACCCUGGAAUUUGGAUCAUUAAGUGUGCAUUAUUAGAGUUGAGUGCAUUUAAUAAGCCAGGAUUAUCUCCUAGAGUUGCAGAGCAAGACAAAGCAAGUAGAGUCGGUAUCUGGAGACCUUUUUGCAAAGAAGAGACAAGCUCUCUCUAGGCUAUAUCACUAGUCUCAACUUCCUGGGCUCCAGC
rnacentral:lncRNA from 1 species